rnacentral:rRNA from 1 species
AGUGAACGCUGGCGGUAGGCCUAACACAUGCAAGUCGAGCGGCAGCACAGUAAGAGCUUGCUCUUACGGGUGGCGAGUGGCGGACGGGUGAGGAAUACAUCGGAAUCUACUUUUUCGUGGGGGAUAACGUAGGGAAACUUACGCUAAUACCGCAUACGACCUACGGGUGAAAGCAGGGGAUCUUCGGACCUUGCGCGAUUGAAUGAGCCGAUGUCGGAUUAGCUAGUUGGCGGGGUAAAGGCCCACCAAGGCGACGAUCCGUAGCUGGUCUGAGAGGAUGAUCAGCCGCACUGGAACUGAGACACGGUCCAGACUCCUACGGGAGGCAGCAGUGGGGAAUAUUGGACAAUGGGCGCAAGCCUGAUCCAGCCAUACCGCGUGGGUGAAGAAGGCCUUCGGGUUGUAAAGCCCUUUUGUUGGGAAAGAAAAGCAGCAGGUUAAUACCCCGCUGUUCUGACGGUACCCAAAGAAUAAGCACCGGCUAACUUCGUG